GGAUUAGAUCAUGCACACUGCUCAUCUGCUGCGUGCUGCUGGGCACACUGCAGUUGGCUGGUCUGCAAGUCUGUCUGUGUGCCCUGUUGAGGGAGGUUCCUACUGUCUCAGAAGAAAACAAGUUUGUCCAAGGAACAGCAGCCUUUGGAGUAUGGAAAACCACAGAAGAAACUGGAACUGUCUAUGAAAGUCAACCCAGCCACCUCUUCAAACACUUGGGGCUACGGGUGACCUUCCAGGCUUUGCUGUUACACCGUUUCAGGAGCCCUCCUUCCCCCUGGGGCUGGCUUUGCUUGAAAGCAGAGGAGGCCUGUGGUGCUGCCAAGUCCAUUGCUGCAGACCUCUUGGUUCCCCAAGAGGAGGGGUAAAGGCUCUUUUUGAUCCCACUGCGCAUCUCUGGGCUCUGCUGACCUCCUGACAUGGAGAGCACCACGAGGAGGAAGAGGGCUCAGCACGUGACUGGACUUUGCAGCCAGCUCUGGACCACAGAGCUCCUUGCCCAGAUACAUGCUAGACUCUUGCUGAUAUCCUUCGCCAUAUGGGACGUGCAUGGUGCUGCUUCCUCCUGGCUGCCACUCAUGGGGUUCUGCUCCGACUCCGAAGCUCCGUGUGUGGGAACUGCUCCUGGCUGUGGCUCAUCUCUGUCUGCAGGAGCUGCUCGACCUCUUUCAGCACAUCCCGGUCUGUUUGGACCAACCAUCUCUUCUCCAGGUGUAGCCGCUUCCUCUCCCCUGCAUUUCAGCUGUGGUAGUUAUCACAUUAUUUAUGAGACAGACAGAAGUUGCAUUCAGCUGAGAGCCGGAGGCUUCUCUCGGUACAAAUCGCCCUGCAAUGCUGCUGUGUCGGGAUGGAGAAAGGCAGAGCCGCAACCGGACUGCAGAGGCAGCUCAGUGACCCAGUGCUGCCCCAGGCAUGCGAUGGGUGCCCUGUUUGGCUGAAGCAGCUGAAUGCAUGUGACUGAAGUGCUUCCUGACACUGUCAAACCAUGGAUACAUACCAGCAGCUCCCAGAGAGGUGGAGGAUGCCCACUGGGAUCUAUCUCAUGACCUGUGGCUGUCCCCACCUGAGCAAGCCCUGGGGUCUUCCAGCAGCACAAGAAACUGCAUCAGCCCCUCAAGGUACGUGUUUUGUCCCAUCAGCCUGUACUGUGUAUUGUGGUGCCUUCCAUGCUGCUGCUGUGGCUGAAUGGAAGUCAUAUGGCUGCCCCUUGUUUCCCUUGGUCACGAGAUGCAGGCUGUCAUAAGGUGGCACAUCUUGGGUGCAUAAGGAUCUGCCUGGGUAAGGGGAAGCCCAGCAGAACUGUCUUCAUGUGUGGAGCUCUCCUAAAGUACCAUGUGGGUAUUUUCAUCUUUGACUCUUGCUGAGGUGACCACUAAUAAGGUGGAGGGAGAGCAAGAAGACACAGGGUCUGACCUUCCCACUCUACAGACACCUCUUAAAGACCCUGAUGUUCUUCUUUAGGGAGUUCUAGGCACCCAGAGCACUUUUAAUUUGUAAGCAUCUUGAACCGAGUACCAACACCCAGACCCUGAAAAAUGCCUUGCCAUUUGUCUCACCCUAGCAAAGUCACUGUUAUCUUGGGGUUGUCACUUUGCUCUGUCAUCAGACAAAGCCAGUGGUUGCCCCAUCACUGAAUGCCAGGAGAGGAGCUGGUGUAGGAAUUGGUCAGAGGCAACAUUCCCUCUCCUGUCUUACAGCAGAGACAUCCCCAUGUUGGCCAAUCCCUGCAGGGAAUGAUUUUUGGAGAUCUGUGGCCUGUUUUUUCAGCAUCUCAUAAACAGGGAAAAGAAACAAAGGCAAGAAUUGCCAUGCGACAGCAUGUGUAUAAAUAGAUCCUUAGGAGGGUGAGACUAGCAGGAGGGAAGAGAUGGAGAUGAUUUCUAUUUCCAAAGGAGCAGCCUUGAAGCCGCUUGCCUUUGUGCCUGACCCUUUGGUGUUAGGUCACUGCUCCUCGUGCCCAGUGCUCGCUUAUCCAGGAAAAGAUUGUAUAGAAAACUUGCUGCUUGCCACGAGAAGGGAGGUUACUCCAUGUUUUAAAGAGGUUAAUGGCUUUUUUUGUUGCAUAGUAAGGAAAAAAAUUAUGAUAAUGCUCAGAUGGAGCUGUAUCUCAUCUAAAAGGGUUUCUAAUUAUUGGGUUUAAUAUAGAAUUAUUAGAAAGUCAAUAACCAGGGCAAGUGGUGAUCUGGGAGUCCCUCAGAAGAAGGAGUCGAGCUGGUGAUGCAGCCACUGGAUUUGUUAAGGCCAUCUUAGGGAUGGUGGGACCCAGGGUCCUAGAGAGUCCAGGACCAUGUGUGUCCCAUCCCAUGGGGUCUCCUCCCACCACCCCUCUGUAGCUGUGGUUGGAAGGACUGAGGGCACAUU